rnacentral:lncRNA from 1 species
CCUAAAACCUGAAACACUCCGUGUAACUCAUUAGUUCCUCAACCAUGUUGUCAUCAUUCAUCAAAACCCAUACAGGGGUAAGGUUUCUCUUUCAGGAGAGGAUUAAAGUUUUUUUUAGAAUAACCUAAAAUAUAUAGGGGGUUUCUUUAGAAAAUAUUACAACUUGUUGACUAUUCUGCAAAAUGAUUUUCUUUUUUGACGAAACGCAGCGGCCUGCUUUCCAUCAAUUAAGACCAAAGAGAAACAUAGACCGAGAGGUCAACAACAGAAAAAGAAAAGAAAAGAAAUAUGUACAGAUCACAGCCAGAACAGCGGCA